GGGAAUUUUGGACAAUGGGCGCAAGCCUGAUCCAGCCAUGCCGCGUGAGUGAAGAAGGCCUUCGGGUUGUAAAGCUCUUUUACCCGGGAUGAUAAUGACAGUACCGGGAGAAUAAGCUCCGGCUAACUCCGUGCCAGCAGCCGCGGUAAUACGGAGGGAGCUAGCGUUGUUCGGAAUUACUGGGCGUAAAGCGCACGUAGGCGGCUUUUUAAGUCAGGGGUGAAAUCCCGGGGCUCAACCCCGGAACUGCCCUUGAAACUGGGAAGCUAGAAUCUUGGAGAGGCGAGUGGAAUUCCGAGUGUAGAGGUGAAAUUCGUAGAUAUUCGGAAGAACACCAGUGGCGAAGGCGACUCGCUGGACAAGUAUUGACGCUGAGGUGCGAAAGCGUGGGGAGCAAA
rnacentral:rRNA from 1 species